rnacentral:lncRNA from 1 species
GGUAGAACAAGAGUAGAUAUUGGGAAGCAUUACUGUGCAGAGAGUGAGUCUCUGCUGAAAUUGAAACAGCUUGUCAUUUUAAUAAUAUACUCACUGAAAGAAGUAAAAGGAGGGAAAAUGAAAUAUGCUGGUGUGUCAGGUCAGAGGUUCUCCUGAGAGCCAGGGAGGGUGUUCCUCACCCAAGCUGGCAGUCUGGCUGAUACAAGGUUUUUUUAUCUCUGUCUCUUGAUGGGGCUGGAAUAGAUGCUGUUGCAGAUCAUAGUCAAAUGUUUUGAGAAAAUACUUCUAAGAAAAAGUGCAACUGAGCUAGCAUUUUUGUCUAUAUUCUCAAAAUUUGUGGACCAUAUUCAGCAGUUUGUAUGGUGGAAUGGACAUGCAGCCUUUGGCAUGGCAAAGGCAAGAACAGAGGAGGUCACUGUACUUGUACAGGUUUUCUGGAUGUCACAGCUUGCAGUGGAGCCUGGCCAGAGACUUCUACAGCUCCAGCUGAUCUCAGGAUCUCAGUUGUGUGAUGCCCAUGCAGUGCAAAGAUCAACAUGGCACCUGAGAAGCAGCAAUCUUGUGGUCCAGGUGUCCAUUCAGCAAAGGACUAAGUGCCAGAUUGGAGGACUCGGGAUGGCAAAGCAGACAGCCACACAAAAUCUAAACAUCCACCAUGAAAAAUGUGAAGCACCAGAAAAUGUUUCAUUCUGCAUCAAAAUGGAAUAACGUUUUUAUUUGCAAAUUGCGAAUGCUGAGCAAGCUAAUAAACC